GACGAAGGGGGCUAGCGUUGUUCGGAAUUACUAGGCGUAAAGCGUGCGUAGGCGGUUCGUUAAGUCUGCUGUGAAAGCCCUGGGCUCAACCUGGGAACUGCAGUGGAUACUGGCGGACUAGAGUGUGAUAGAGGAUGGUGGAAUUCCCGGUGUAGCGGUGAAAUGCGUAGAGAUCGGGAGGAACACCAGUGGCGAAGGCGGCCAUCUGGAUCAACACUGACGCUGAGCACGAAAGC
rnacentral:rRNA from 1 species